UGUUACAAAAUCUUGUAUUAAUCAUCUCCCUUCACUUUCAAUAUAACGUUGAUAUGAAACAUAGGCAUGAUUCCUAGUUACAUGGAAGGAGAACGAGUAAUAAAUAUAUAUUGUAGCAAGUUGAAAUCACAAGGGUGUUUCACCAGUAAUAACAACAAAUUGAAAACUGUACACUUGCAAAGAAAUUACAGCACCCCCAAACAUUAGACUUUCCCCCCUGCCCCUCCUCCUUCUUCUGAUUAAUCAGGAAGCCGAUACAUGUAAACAAACAUGCUAUUUCCAUAUAUGACAAAUUUCUUUUAAAAAUAUGCAUUGCUUGGCAACAUUAACUAGGCAAAAAUAUUUCUUUGUGCACUAACUUUAUGCAGGGGAAAUACACGCUUCCCCCUAACCAAAAAUCAAAUAAAAUAAAACAGAAAAAAAAUAGAUCAAGACUAAAAUGCAUGCAUGUACAAUAGAAGGCUCUUUUUUCAUUUUUGCCGAUAGCAGGCAUGCAACAAAAUGGAAAUCCAAGCUUUUUCAUUUGCUUACAGUAGGCAUAAAUACAUAAGGGCUAUAUAUUAAUAAGGGAGGAAGUAUUCUGUUUUAUUUUUAAACAUUUAUUAACAUUCCUGUUUUCUUGCAAUUCCUCCCAGAGGAAUACACAUUCACCUUUUAAGUAAAGAUUAAAGGAAUACAAAAAAUAAAACUCACUUUGCAAACUCUGAUGACUUGUAUAAAAUCAACUUUAGUGUUAUCAUAGCUGUGUGCAAAUUAUACUUUCUACAAGUCUACUCUUUCUACUUCUUAGAAUCAGGCACAUCCAGAAAACCCUUGAUUGGGGAGGAGGGAAGGGAACUGUUACUCGCUACAUGCUACAAGAGAGAUGGACCUGUUGCUGUACUGAAAAUCUCUUUGCUCCUCUUCCCCAUCGUGUCUAGUGAAAGCACAGAAUGCAACCCAUUUCCUGUUGACCUGCUCCUGAAGCCAAUAGCUAGGGAGAGGGGAUAUGGGCACAAUGCCAUUAUGUCACAUUUUGUGUGUUCCUAAGUGAGAUGAGGAAGGGGAAGCAAGAACAUUCAGAACUUCUAAUUUAGCUCCUUGAAACCCAGGGAGGGAGGAGGAGGAGAGAAGAGAAACAGUAAGGAGUUGACUGUAAGGUGGGCCCUGGGUUCUAGGCUAAAUCAGAGCAUAAUUCUGCAGCCACAGACAAGCCAAGCGCCUACAAAGUUGUAUGUCUGUCAUUAAAACAAUCCUUUGUUCAGGGAGUAGAGUUAGCUAACAAGGAAAGUUCUUCUCCUGCCUGCUCCCAGGACAAUAGAGAGAAAAGUCUCGGUUGUAUCUUGGUUUCAAACUGGGAAAGGUUCCAGUGGCCAAAAAGGAGCAGCAAAUGACACAAAGAAAGAUUUGUUUUCUUGGAUAUUUUUCUUGCUUGGCCUCAUCUUAGACAAGAGGAAAAGGCACUGCCAAAGCCCAGUGUCUAGAGAAUAUAAAGAGGCUGCCUGAUGACAGGUGGGUUGCGGUCUUCUUGAGGAUGGAUACUCAAGCUUGUCUGGAGUAAUUUGCAAGAUAGGCGGCUUUCAUCAGAAGGACCAAAGCAGCAGCUCGCCAUAAGCUCUGCCCCCUUCUGACAUGCAAGCGACUUCACAACACAUAUACCAAAGGAGUGGCGCUUUCAUUGUGACAGUGCAAGGCUGCCACAUUACCUGUCCCCUGCUGACAGCCACCUGCAGGUGCCUCUGAGUUUGCCACAAAAAUGAACACAGGGUCUUGUUAUCUACAGAUGGGACACUGCCCACUGAAUCCCAGCUCCUCCAACGAGUCCCACUCCCUGUAGGAUUCCAGUGCAAACAAGAUGCUCUGAAUCAGCUUCUUGUUUAUGGAGCUCUAUGUGGAAGUCCACAGAUUGCUUCUUGUGUGAAGCUCCAAAGCCUUUCUAUGCAUUAAAAGGCCAUUAGAUUAGAUGCUACUAAACACAGAUACAGUCCUUUUUAAACCAGGCCACUAGUCUCAAACUGUGUUUAUUACCUAAGCAGGCCAAGGUUGAGUCUUGAUGACCAAUCUUUAAAUCUCUGGUAUGCUUGAUGUUGGAUAAUGAUGGGUGACUAGACGUUUUGGGUGCUGAGCUGGAAGGCCCGAAUGUUAUCCUGGCUGAUUAACAUGGGGCACUGAUAACUGGGAAUUUUCCUUUAACAACGGUCAUGAGAAUGAGUACGUGCUGAUUGGUGACAAAGCAGCGCGUUAAAUGGUGGUUGUCUCCCAUCACCACAUAAUCAGGCUCUUUUCUGAAUGUAAUAAUUAGCCAAAGGACCAGUGCUAAGACCUGUGGCCUACAGUUUAUUUCUGCAGUGCAAAUCACAGUCAAGGACACAUCAAAGUGCCGGAUUGCUUUGCGCCGCAGUACAGAAAGUAAUCACAGACCAGAAAGUAAGAAUGAAAAUGCCUAGCCUGCUGCGUUAUUGGAUUUUUCCUCUUGUCAACUACUAUCCCUCAAAUAAUUGUCAAAGCAGCAUAAACACUAGAAUUCAUCCCCUUGCCCUCACACCCCCAAUUCUGUUACAUAAAUUUGUUUGCAUUUCCCCAUUCAACAAUUGUCAUAAAUCACUAGAAAGAAAAGCACCAAUAUAAAUUUCGUACAUGAUAACCGCAUAGUAAAAGUUGUCUCUGGCAGAGCAGGCAGAGGUAUCCAGCUUACAUACUCUUGUAAUGAGAACAAGGAAAAAAAAAAUAGAACUCACAUUUCUAUGUAGUGAAAUAGUCUGCAAUUUCUGAAACUAUCAUAUAGUUGCUUAUUAUAAAACAGUUGCAUUCGGCAAUAAAUGGUAAAUACAAAAACGAAAGGCACUGCCACUUUUUAAAAAAAUACUAAACAUUUGACUUCCAUGGCCUUCAGCAUGCAACUAUUUUUUAUAAAUACAUUUGAUUUUAUUUUGGAUAGUUCUGGAGGUUUUUUUUUUUUUUUUUUAAAAUCUUCUGUGUUUUCUACCUGCACUCAAUACAGGAUUUAAGAGGAAACUUGGGGUUGCUUCUAAAAUGUAUCUGAAGCCUCUUUUCAUCUUCACACAAGAUGCAGAAACAUGCUCAACUUAGCAAUGUACUUACACAGUGUUAAUGGAAAAUAAGUUCUCUUAUUCAAAGGGGGAAAAAUAGAAGAAAAAAUGUAUAUGGUUAUUAAUACCAGAAUUUUAUCAUGGGUACCAGCCACAGCAAGUUAUAAGUCAUAUGUCUAUCCAAAAUAAUAUAUCUCAAUAAUCAGAUAACCUCUGUUUUCUAUAUUCAGCAAAGGAAUAAAUAAACAUUUCAGAUUUGUAAGUAUUUUGACCAGAUUUCCCCAACCUGGUGCCCUCCAGACGUAGAUGGAUUAAAGUUUCCUGAAUCUGUAACACCCUGAUUGUGAGGAGCAACUUCUUUUUCUUACUUCUCCUCCCCCCAGUCCAGAUUCCUGCACAAGGGCAUGGUUUAUAGGCUUCCAAAAUACUCAAGCCUACUCUUCCCUCAGCUUCUACACCCAAACAGUUUUCUACGCUGUGCCACCUGCUUUCCCGACAAUUCCCUAGCGCAACCAAUCAGCCAAUUUUACAUAGCAGCCUCACCUAACCUGGUUUCUUCCAGAUGUGUUGCACUGCAACUCCCAGAAUUCCUCACUGCUAUGGCCAUGUACCAUGCUGGUUGGGAAUUUUCAAUGGGUCCAACAACUGGAAGGCCUUAGGUUGGGGAAGGCUGAUCUACAGCAAUGAACGUUGCCCUGCAAUAAACAGUAUGUAAAUCCAUCAAUUGCAAAACAACCUCUGCCUAAAACUAUGUCUUCUCACGUGCCUUAAAAAUCACUUUCCAAAAUCUUUCCCUCCAUCACUGCAUUCUUUCUUUAUAAACAUAAAACCAUGUUGUCCUUCCUUGUUAAUAUGCAUGCUAGUAAACAUCAAACAAACAAAAAGGAAUUUUGGCACUUUUGUUCAGAAAUAUCAGUUUUAAUUCUUUAAAAUACUGUUAUCUGAAACAUAUUUUGAUCUCUCUUUCAUUGAUAGGCUCAAUAAAAAAAAUAAAAAAUAAAAGUUACGGAGUUUGAGAAGCAGCCCUUUAGCUCCCUCCCCUUUCUAACCCAAAAGCAGCAGCAGCAAAUAUUUGGCACUAAGUUAGGUUUGAUUAGAUGGAGAAAAUGUCUACUAUCAAAAAUGGAUUCCCUGUUUGGGAAAAAAACACAGUAAUUUGCACUACAGACUUACUGAAACAGGCCUUACUGCAUCACGUUUCGGGCAUGUCCACUUUCAUGCUGGCUUCACUGUUAUGUCUUCCAACCUGUGGGCCCUGGGAAAUAUGCCUCUGUAUUGGAGUUGAAAUUAAAGGACUACAGAAAGCUUCACACAACUGGGAAGUACGGAGUAGGAAGCCAUACCUAUUUAGCACUAGUUUCAAACCAAUUUAAAUCUCUAGCAUAGGCUUCAUCACAACAAAUCUUCAGCACCUUCACAAAACUACAAUUCCCAAUGCAAGAAGCCAUGAUGAUGCAACUAGUUUCAAACUGGUUUAUUGUUCACUAUAUGCAGUUUGUUGCUUGGCACUGUCACACACACCCAAGGACUCAGGAUGCAUCUUGGGCGAGAAGAUGCAUGGCUGUUUUUCUUCCAUGGGAGGAACAGGAAACUAUUAGUACUAAAACAUAAACUUGUUAUUGGGUGAAUGGACUGGACAGUUAGCAGUGGAACUGAAGCACAGAUUCGUUCUGUACUAUGAUCAGAAAUGGUGAAAUGACACACUGAUUUCUAAGUGAUACCUUAUCACUUGGUAUUAUCUGGUACGUGAUGUAUUGAAACAUAUCACAUUUUUGUGUAUCUAUAUAAAAGCCGUCUCUUCCUCUCAGCACGUAAUUAGGAUAGCAGUGGAAAAUUGUGGGCUAAAACGGAGAACAGCCUGAGGGCAGGCUCUGCAGAUGGCAGUGAGCACGGCUGAAAUCAUCAACAUUUUGGCCUUGUUGGGAGUUGGCAGGUUUAAGGUAUGAAAUAAAUAUCUUUGCUCACAGAGACUUAAGGCACCCCAUUUUGCCCUUUAAUUUUCUCUAUGGGCAAAUCAGCCUCUAGGGAUGCUCGGGAGGAGCAUAAAAAUGGGUACUGGCAGCAACUGCAUGUGGUGUACACUGUUGCUCAUCUCUGGGUUAAAACACAACAGUUGUGAAGCUGUUUUCCCCCAGUCAUAAUGCUUUUAGACGGUCACUUCCCUUUACAAUUCAACGUCUGAACAAAUCGAGGGAGCUACAGGUCACAGGAGUCUUCCUCAGAUGGGGGAGAGCGACUAUGAGCAAAUUCCAGAACCGCUUAUGUGUGAAGCUUAACUUUCUUUGUGAUUUGGCUUCUCUUUCAGGUUUAUACAGAAACUGCUUUUGAAGGCAUGCUGGACUGGCUUCAAAAGAUAAGCCAGACCAGGCCAGGCCCAACAGAGGUUGUGGUGGGGAAAAGAGCGGCAAGAAAUGAUAGCAGUGUUGGGUAGCUACGUGCAACCAAGUAGAUUGAUUUCAAGCUUCUUUUCCCCAUGGCCUACCCAUCCACAGAUCUCUCUGCACUGGCUUAACUGCCCCUCCUGCCCUCAGGCUCAACUUCUUGUUAUCAGGCUUAUGGAAACAGAGCAGUGCCUGCUGUUCAAUGUAACCACAUCCUGGAACACCGUUUCUCAAUCUCAGCAAAUUUGCUGGCUGGGGAAUUUUGGGAGUUGAAGUCCAGGUGUCUUAAGGUUGCUGAGAUUGAGAAACAAGAGCCCAAUUUAGACUGAGAGUAGCAUCUCCUAUGGCUUCAUUUAUCCUUCCUUCCCAUGUGACUCAGGUUGAGGAAAAGCACAAUCUACUAUCUGAAAACGAUAUUUCCUCAGUCACCUCACAAAGUAAGCAAAGAAAUGGAAUCUUUGCUUUGCCUGACCUUUUCUUGAUUUAAAUAACUGGGCCUCUUAUCUGAAACAUGUCAACAUUUACAUUAGGUCAUGCUAAUCUCAAAAGAUCUUCCAAGUUUAGCUGAUGAUUUCCAUCUAAGUAUAUGUACUUGGAAGAAAAUAGGUAUUUAAGCUUCAGUAAACCUAAGCCCUCCAAACUACUUGACAUGUAAGCUUAAUUCUUGAUGGUCCCCAGAGGGAGAUCCAAUGGCCUCUAUAAAGUGAAAAGGGAGCACUGUUUGGACAACCCAAGUGAUUCAAAGCCAAGGUUUUCCAACCUCUUGCUGUUUGAUUGACAUUCUGUGUUCCAGUUAAAUGUACAGGGCUUCUACUGUAGAGCUUGAAGGUUCAAAGAACCUUCCCCUCUCCGUACCAAGGUGCUCCAUCCAAAUAGCAGCUUAUUUUACUCUAAUUCUUUCUUAGUGUUAUGUACCAAGCACAUCAGAUAGUAGGUAAUACUUUGGAAUGGGGAAAGAGGGGUGAAAUAGAUGCUGUAAAUUUGCUUCCCUAACUUCUGAAUUCCAAAAGCUACCAAACCAAGAUCAAGAAAAAAUCUCCAUGGUGCAUAUGCCUCUGCUUUUUCAGGGGAAAAAAAAA